UCCUUAAAAUCAACGGACAAGGCCUGGCUUACUGAACUUCUGUACACAUUCAACAGUGGCAAUAUUCCAAAGUUUGAUGAGCUCAAGAAGAUUUGGGCAACUCAGCCUGAUCUAGCUUCUAAUGAGCUUCACAUGAGGCAGAAAAUUUCACUUCUUUGUUUAAUGGAGAUGACUUUCCAGAGACCAGCCACAAAUAGACAGUUAACAUUUCAUGAAAUUGCUGAUGAAACUCAACUGCCAAACAAUGAGGUUGAAAUGCUAGUGAUGAAAGCUUUGAGUCUGGGACUUGUCAAAGGAUCCAUUGAUGAAAUUGACCAGAAAGUACAUAUGACCUGGGUUCAACCUCGUGUCCUUGAUCUUCAGCAAAUUGCCACCAUGCAGAAAAGGCUAGAGCAGUGGACAGAGGAUGUCAGUGGAAUGGAGCAGUUAUUGGAAGUGAAAGCCAAGGAUAUUUUGACAUAAUCUUAAUUUUAUCCUUUAAAUCAAAUUUCAUGAUGAUCUUUCAUUGAAUGACAAAAUCUGCAAACCAAAAUAUUUGUAGAAUUAUAAAUGGUAAAAAUAAACAAGUUCUUACAU
rnacentral:misc_RNA from 1 species